GAUGAACGCUGGCGGCGUGCCUAAUACAUGCAAGUCGAGCGAACAGACGAGGAGCUUGCUCCUCUGACGUUAGCGGCGGACGGGUGAGUAACACGUGGAUAACCUACCUAUAAGACUGGGAUAACUUCGGGAAACCGGCGCUAAUACCGGAUAAUAUAUUGCACCGCAUGGUUCAAUAGUGAAAGACGGUUUUGCUGUCACUUAUAGAUGGAUCCGCGCCGCAUUAGCUAGUUGGUAAGGUAACGGCUUACCAAGGCGACGAUGCGUAGCCGACCUGAGAGGGUGAUCGGCCACACUGUAACUGAGACACGGUCCAGACUCCUACGGGAGGCAGCAGUAGGGAAUCUUCCGCAAUGGGCGAAAGCCUGACGGAGCAACGCCGCGUGAGUGAUGAAGGUCUUCGGAUCGUAAAACUCUGUUAUUAGGGAAGAACAAAUGUGUAAGUAACUAUGCACGUCUUGACGGUACCUAAUCAGAAAGCCACGGCUAACUACGUG
rnacentral:rRNA from 1 species